CCACUGUUGUGACGACCUCACAGACCCCAGGAGCUUGUUAUUUUUCUCCCCAGAUUUAUUCGUCCACCUACCAGGCCAGGUAUACAUUCACGUAUCCGAAGACACGAGAGACUAGUUCCCUGUGUGACUGGGCUGAGGCUCAUCAGUGAGGUUAUGAAAGACGGCUGUUCCUCUCGAGGGUUCUGACAGAGUGACCGCCCUUCAGGAUUGACUGACUCACCAGCUUUAAAGGCGACGGGAGUAAGGCCUCGAUGUUCUCCACUGGUGGAGGGAACGUUUUCAACCCAGAAGUGUCAUCUUCUUAUUUUAAAUUUCUGCCGAACAUACUCUUUUCCAACGAAGUUUCAGUUUCAUACAAAAAAUUUUUUUAAACUUAAAAAUAAUUAAACAAGCAUAAAGGGAUUCGGAUAGAUUGUCCAGAAGAUGAACCUGCAAAUACCACACGUGGUAAAUACAAUGUUUUUAAACCAGCAAGUAAGCAUGAAAAUGAGAGCACGAAUCCAAGGAAAGAGGCAGCAACCUCUGCGUCAGAUACCCUGCGAAGCAAUGAAGUAAUCUGCUCUUGAAAUUGAUAUUCUGUUUGUGUGGCCAGGCCCGAAAAAUCAAAGCUUUUGAAGGAAAAUGUGAAAUAAAUGGUAAAGACCGCAAAAUACUUUUGAAAACUGCCUGUCAUCUUAGCUGACUCAUUGCAUAGACAAUGUACUGCAUGUCGAUUAUGCGAUCAACUUCAAUGGGCUGGGGUAACCAUAGGUAUUUGAUUGAGGGAAGUAGGGCCACAGAGUCACUUAAGAUGAUCUGCUUGACUCAGUGGAGAAAAAGUGCCAAUAUUUCUCUAUUUUCAUCUGGAAAAUUUGGCUCAUUUAUUUUUUUCCACCUUCCAUUCUGGUAUAGGGAGAGAAAAGUACAUGCAAUGUACACGAGCUACGUGCAGAUUUUUAAAAAAAUUUAUAGCUAAACCCAUGGCAUAUGAAAGUUCCCAGCCCAGGGAGUGAAUCCAAGCCACGGCUGCAACCUGUGCCGCAUCUGCAGCAAUGCAGGAUCUUUAACCCCCUGCACUGGGCCAGGGAUCAAACCCACACCUCUGCAAUGACCCAGGCUGCUGCCCUCGGAUUCUUAACCCACUGUGCCAUGGUGAGAACUCCACGACAAGCAGAUUUUUAUAGUGCUUUUAUUGAAAAGUCAACCUUAAGCCUUGUGGAGUUUUGGUACUAUUUUAGAUACUAUAAAAAUGAUGAUCAGAGAGAAAUCACAAGUUCCGCUUACCUAGGAACUUAUGAAGAAUGGAACAGACAGAAAGAUGACCAUGUCUCAAUCUUGUGUGAUUUGAGAGGAAGGCAAGAUGAUGUAUUGAAACAGCACUGACCUCAGAUCAAAGCAAGUUUCAUCUCAGAGAGGGCCUUUCAUGCAUGAGUAUCACUUUAUGAUUUUCAUCAGGCCAUUUUACCUCUCUGAACAUGAGUUUCUUGCCUGCAAAAUGAAUGGAUUUGACUGAGUAAAAUCUAAAGUCGCUUUCAACUUUGAACUCUUAUGGUUCUUCUAUACUCAGUUGCAAGAUGAGGCUGGGUUGGGAAUUUUCCCUGCCUGGUUGAGUCACUUUGAGACUGGAAACCCAACAAUUUCUAUUCUUAGGGCCAAUUCCUUAAGCCUUUAUAUCUUUUGGAAACUUUUCCUGUUUGCAUAAUAAAGUACUCCAGUGUUACCAAUAUCUUCACAUCGACAGGCAAACCAAACCAGAAAAAAAGAAACAGGAAGUAGACGCAGAAAUACUCUCAACCAGAAUGGUUUCAUGGAGCCUUGUUUAAGGAGAACUUCCAAAUUCCAGCUGUGUACUGUUUAAACGUCUCCUUAAAUGAAACUGACAGAGGGAGAAUGGGAUCCAAUUAGUAAGAGUUUCCUUUCUCUGCAUCUGAUAAGUUAACAUCUGUGCCUUCCGAUAAGGCACGCUAAUUUUUUCGUGGCAUUUGCACUAUUCAUUAGUUCCCUUUUAGUACAAAUAGCUGCUCUCAAAAACGCUCCAGGGCUACGAUGAAUUGUUAGACAGGUGGCAGAGAGGCAUCACCUGAGAAGGAAGCCUCUCUAGGUAAACAUUUGGAUUUCUACAAUGAAACGUGAAGGUAAAUUCUGUUAGUCACACUGGGUAUUCUAAUACUCUCAAAGAAUGAUUCACUUAAUAUACUAAGAAGCUGAUGAUAUUGAUAAUGAUGACAAGGUUAAUUACUAAUUGUAGUUAUCUGCUGAUUCCUUUAAAGGUACACUUACUAUUUAAGAAACUGAAGUUUUUUGUUUUGUUUUGUUUUUUGUGUUUUUCUCCUUGCAAUUAUGUGUCCCUGUUUUGGACAGGAGAACAUUUUUUCUUAUCCUGAUUCCCAAAUGUCAGGCCCUCAGGAUAUAUUUUUGUUUGCAGAACUCUCACCCCUCGUCUGAUUUUUCUGCCAACUUCCCUUGCUCUAUCAUGUCUGACAAUGUCCUCUGGAGCCUCCAUCUGUCAGCAAGCCCCUCUAUCCUUCUGUUUCUUCAUAUAAACUUCCUUCUCCUCCGUCUUAAAGGAAUUCAGGAAACACCAGUUCCCUUAUAGUCAGUCCUUUUAUUGCGAGGUCUCUGGUUCUCACGAGCGCAACCCCUAAUUACCAUAAGGCCAAAAGGUGAUGUGUCCUGUGCAAAAACCUCUUUCCUUAUGAGGCUUUUGCUGCCCAGUUAUUUCACAGGACUCAGCCAGGAUUUUCUAUCAAUUCCCAGCAUCUUUUAAAAGCACAGGCCUAUUUAACUCUAAUGGGACUACUAAGAGAUCUGGCCAAGAAGUUUGUUUUUGAGGUAUUUCCCUCCUCCGAAAUCAUACAGGUUCUGAAAUAACAGACCUAGUCACGUGCUUUUUGCACACAAGGAGAUCCAUUACUUUUAACCGCAGAAAUAUUUUUAUAACAGGAGCACCACAGGAGUUUGAAAGAUGGGGUUUCAGGCAGGAGAAGGGUUUUCAGCAGUCAGCUACCAAUGACCCUGCCCCAGAAAGCAUCAAAAAUACUAAAGGACUAAGAAGUUGUUUUUUAAUUAAUGGUGAUAUGACUUAAAUAUCUAUAGAGUCCAGACCACUGACUCUAUUAUGAUGGGUUGAGAAUCUAUUUUAUAUUUUUUGCAGCUCUAGAAAGCUGUCACUCAAAUGAUCACUUAGUUAUUGGUUCAACAUGUAAACUGUUUGUCCUAACAUUUGAGUGCAAGCAAAGAGAGGAGAAGGCACAAAGUCCUAUGUGGGACAGGUUUCCACUAAGUGUUGUAACUGGAAAGUAUGAGAAGCAAAACCAUCACAGAAGCAUCAUAGAAGUAAUAGUUCAUAUAUGGAAGGUUGCAGGUCAGUAUUUCUUUAAAUGUGGACAAGACUGGGAUCAAGAACCAACCGUCUGUAAAAGAAACAGAUUAGAAUUGGAGACACAAAUACAUCAAAUGCAAAGGAUAGAAAGAUACGUAUGAUACAAAUACUAACUAUAAGAGAACAGGAGGAUUUAUGUCAAUGUCAGAAAAAAUAGUCUCUAAGACAAAAAUAUUACUAGAGUUAGGGAAAUGUUAUAGUCAUAAAAGGUCAAUAUAUCAGGAAGGUAUAAUAAUUAUGAAAAUAUACACAACUAAGAGAAGUGCAUACAAAACACAUGAAGGAAAAAACUGACAGAAAUGAAAUAUGCAACCGACAAUUCAACCAUUAGAAUCACAGUUCAAUCUCCUAAUUUUAAUAUUGGAUAAAAGCUGACAGAAAAUAGUACGCUUGAACAACCCUGUCACCACCACGACUUAACUGAUAGUCAUAGAAUAGUCUACUCAGGAACAUUGUAAGAUGGUGUUUUUAUUUAUUUUAUUUUUUGUCUUUUGUCCUUUUAGGGCUGCACCCCGGCAUGUGGAGGUUCCCAGGCCAGGGGUCCAAUGGGAGCUGUAGCCGCCGGCCUACACCAGAGCCAUAGCCAACGCCAGAUCCGAGCCGCGUCUGCGACCUACACCACAGCUCAUGGCGAUGCUGGAUCCUUAACCCACUGAGCAAGGGCAGGGAUUGAACCCACAUCCUCAUGGUUACUAGUUGGAUUUGUUUCCACUGCGCCACGAUGGGAACUCCUUCAAAAUGGUGUUUUUAAAACACACAUAGGAUAGUCCCUAAGCCAGACCAAAUCCUAGGUUAUAAAACAAUUCUUAGUAAACCUAAAACGAACUGAAGUUAUUCAAAGCAUGUUCUCCAACCACAAUGAAAUAAAAUUAGAAAUGGACAACAUUAAAAAAAUUGGGAAAUCCCUAAAUACUUGGGAAUUAGACAGUAUAUUUCUAAAUAAUUCAUACUUCAAAGAAGAAAUAACAAGGGAAACUGGAAAGCAUUUUGAGCUGAAUAAAAAUUUAAACUCAAUAUAUCACAAUUCAUAUUACAUGCUAAAACAUGGAUAGACCUCAAAAACAUUACCCCAAGUUACUGCAAAAGAGCACACAUCGUGUGGUCCCAUUUAUAUGAUAUGUCCAGAAAACUCAAAUUUAUAAUGACAAACAGAAAGCAGAUCCGAGGUGGCCUGGGGCUGGGAGUAGGGUGCAGAGAUUCAGUGUGAAAGGGUGUGAGGAAAUUUGAGGUGAUAAAAAUGUCCUAAUACUACAAAUGGUAAUGGCUGUACAACGCUCAAAAUUUGUUAAGAAUCCUUCAACUGCAUACGUGCAAUGGGUCUAUUUUUAGGCUUGUGAAUUCUACCUUAACAAAGCUUUUGAAUAUACAAAUAAAUACAUGUAU
rnacentral:lncRNA from 1 species